GGAUUGAAUAGGAAAUAAGAAGGGGAGGAAGGUAGAAGGAAAAUGAACAGAAGAGAGAAGCUAAGACGAGAACAGGAGAUGAGAAGAGAAUAGAGGUGUGAAGAGAAGCAGAGACAAGAAGGGAGCAGAGAGGGGAAGAGGAAACAAGAUGAAGGGGUAUUGUUAAAAGCAGAAAGAAAAACAGGUAGCAGGGAACAAGGAGGCGAGAAGAACAAGAGGGAAAACAGAUGGAGUCAUAACAAAAGGAGAGCAGGGGAACAAAGAGAAGAGAAAGAAAAGAACGAGAGAGACGAUACAGGAGAGGAACCAAACCAGCCGGAUAUUCUACCCUACAUCUACAGCCCUGCAUUCUGGAUAAUAAAGAGGAGCAGGUGGGCGAAUAGAUUCUGUCACAGUCUACAAGGCGUGAGGACACUGGCACUGUGCAUGUGUGUGCGUGUGCGUGUGUGUGUGCGUAGGUGUGGGUUAAUGCACACAGGAAUACACACAGACAGCAAGCAUGUCAACAGAUCUGCCAGUUUAAUGACAUCACUACAGACUAAGUGUUUGUUCCUGAAUGUGUGUGUUUGUGUGUGUGUGUGCUUGAGUUUGUGUGAGUUUGUGUGUGCACCUCUAUCCUCUUUAGACUGACUCAGGGAUCAGACUACAGAGGUCUAAGUAAUUAUCUCCUAAGCAGAGUCCCAAGUACAUAACUGUUUUCCUGAACACAGUUAGGCUGCUUACAAGUGAUCAGCGGUAAAACUGCUCUGCGCUGGCUCUGCUAAUCUUUCCCUUUGGGAAAACAGGGGCCAUCCAACUGGAAGGCAGUGUGGUGUUCAACAGAAAAUUGCUUUCCAUCGAUCAUUUCAACCUUGACCUCAUCUGCAUCUGACCUUUGACGGCACAGCCAAUAAGAUAACCACAUGCAGACGUGUGCUGUGUGUGACUAGGUGACUGUUGCAGGACUUUGUUCAAUCUUAAUUUUGUAAAACAUAUAUGUGAAAGCUCCUCUGAGGAAACUUGUUUUUGUCUUGACUAUGGUGCUCCUGGUGGAUAAAGUUAGCCCCUCUUCAUCUUUACUUAUCUAAUCCCUAAAAAUGUGUAAAAUUUUGUUUUCCAACUUAAAGUUAAAGCUGUGGGAUCAAUUAGAUUUUAAUCAUGAUUAUGAAUCUGGCCCAACACCACCGUAAAAAUACAAUAAUCAAGACUGAAUACAGCCUUUAGGAUUUUUCUGUUUAAUUUUCCUGUGAUCUGUUCCCAGUUUACUAAAAAACAAAAAAGACAAACCUCUUGUUUUCUAGAUUUUUAACAUAAGACGCGCUGCUUAUGCAUCUGCACAUUGAAAUAAAAUCCAAGCUGCUCUGCAGCUGUCACGCAGAAUGAAUCCUCUGUAGAGCCAGCCAUGCUCCUUAGUGAGCUCCAAGGGCAUUGAGAUUGAAACCGAUAGGAGUUAAAACUUUUCUGGGCAACUUGAACUUACAUAGCUGGUGUUGGCUUGUUCAACAAAAGUAUGAAGACAACUCAAAUGUCCUUUAUGAUCGAUGAUCAUAAAGUGGUGUUGUUCAAAACUUUAUUGCAGCAGAGUUAUGUUGUAUCUGAUGUCUAGGCUUUAAACAUCAUCACUCUAUGCAGAUCAGUUACACAUAAAGAAAACACAAAGUGACGAGAUGAUAUCUAAAACCCUGCAAGUAAACACUGGAAGGUGGUGGGACUGAAAGUUUGAUUGCUGCACGGAUGCAGGACAGCAGGGGAACUGUCGAAAAGAAGGCAGAGACAGAAAAUCUUGCAGCUCAAAUGCUCUGAUGAAAUGGGAAGAUACAUUUGUCGGACGAUUGUGACAUUAAUGUAAGGCAAGUGAAAAAUUUGUGUAGUUUUUAGGGCCUGUCUGAAAUAGCUUACAAACAUAGCUCUAUUGAUCUGACCAGAUCUAGUAAGGACGCUGCAGACCUGCAAAAUUAUUGCACUAAGCAAGUCUAUAAUUUUGAAAAGAAUCAUUGUUUUUGCACUUAAUAUUAAGUGUAAUAUACACAUCUCAGUAUUUUUUUUUCUUUUUUUUCCCCCCAGAUAAGAUCAAGAGGAUAUUUUUUUUUUCUUUCAAAGUUUUGUUUUUAUCCUUUCAACUGCCGCUGUCUUUUCCUUUCACCCCUAUUUCUAGGUCGUUCCAGGCAACACACUGCCUGCCACCAUCUCCCUCAUACCACCGUCUCUGCGUCUGCCUGUGCCUGCCCACAGAGGCAGCAGAUAAAGAGUUGGCCUCUGUGGAUAGAGAUGGAACGCACUGCAGAGAAUAUCUCUUCACCGCUCAGCCAAACGCCAGCUCGCCCCUCCACAUUCCCUUUCCCACAAUCAAGCUCCCUUUCCAUCUCUUUCACAGUCUCACUGUCUGUCUAUCAAGUGUUCCCAAUGUAUGCUCUUCAACAAUAAUCACACGCACUGAGCUGUGUGUGGACUGUUCACAAACUCCAAAAGAGCUCUAAAAGCUCCUGUGAGACAAAGAGAGAGGAAAUGUGUGAAGGACAGACUGCUAACGGCUACAAAAAUUCAGCUAACUGGAACAUGGACAAACCUGCA